UACGGAGGGUGCAAACGUUGCUCGGAAUCAUUGGGCGUAAAGCGCACGUAGGCGGCUUUGUAAGUAAGAGGUGAAAGCCUGGUGCUCAACACCAGAACUGCCUUUUAGACUGCAUCGCUUGAAUCCAGGAGAGGUGAGUGGAAUUCCGAGUGUAGAGGUGAAAUUCGUAGAUAUUCGGAAGAACACCAGUGGCGAAGGCGGCUCACUGGACUGGUAUUGACGCUGAGGUGCGAAAGCGUGGGGAGCAAACAGGG
rnacentral:rRNA from 1 species